UAAUCCCAGCUACUCGGGAGGCUCAGGAGAAUCACUUGAAACCAGGAGGCGGAGGUUGCAGUGAGCCAAGAUCACACCACUGCACUCCAGCCUGGGCAACAAGAGCGAAACUCCGUCUCAAAAAAAAAAAAAAAAAAAAAAAAGAAAAAGAAAAAAAAUUAAAACAAUUGUAAAAAGGUUCAUCCAUUUUGCAGCAUGUCAGAAUUUCUUUCCUUUUCAAGGUUAAUAAUGUUUCAUUCAUUGUAUGCAUCCAGCAUUUUAUCCAUUCAUCCACUGAUGGGCACUUGGGUUGCUUCCACCUUAGCCAUUGCUGAUAAUAUUGCUAUGAACAAGGGUGUACAAAUAUCUCUUUGAGACCCUACUCUCAAUUCUUUUGCACAUAUAUACAUAUAUAUAUAUACACAUAUAUGUAUAUAUACACACACACAUAUAUAUACACAUAUAUGUAUAUAUACACACACACACAUAUAUAUGUACCCAGAAGUGGAACUGCUGGAUCAUAUGGUAAUUCCAUGUUUAAUAUUUUGAGGAACUUACAUAUUAUUUUCCAAAGCAGUUGCAUUACUUACAUUCCCAUCAAGAGUGUACAUGACUUCUAAUAUCUCUACAUGCUCUCUAACAAUUGUUAUUUUCAAUUUUUUUGACAGUAACCAUCCUCAUGGGUGUGAGGUGGUAUUUUGUUGUGAUUUUGACUUGUGGAUUAGUGACACUGAACCACUUUUCAUGUGCUUGUUGGCCAACUGUUAUCUUCUUUGGAGAAAUAUCUAUUCAAAUCUUUUACCUUUUUUUUAAAGACAGGGUAUCAUUCUGUCACCCAGGCUGGAGUGCAGUGGCAAAAUCAGGGCUCACUGCAGCCUCAUCUCUUGGGCUGAAGCGAUCCUCCCACCUCAGCCUCCUGAGUAGCUGGGAUUACAGGUAUCUGCCACCACGCCUGGCUAAUCUUUAAAUUUUUUGUGGAGACAGGGUCUCACCAUGAUGCCCAGGCUGGUCGUGAACUCUUGGGCUCAAGUAAUCUUCCUGCCUUAGCCUACCAAAGUGCUGGGAUUCUAGUGUGAGCCACAGUGCUCGGCCAUUUUUGCUGCCCCCAACCCCUUUUUGGCAGAGUCUCCCUCUGUCACCCAGGCUGAAGUGCAGUGGUGUGAUUACGGCUCACUGCAGCCUCAACCUCCCAGGAUCAAGUGACGCUCCUGAAUGGCCUCCAAAGUAGCUGAGACUGCAGGCACGCGCCUCCAUGCCCGGCUAAUUUUUAAAAUGUUCUGUAGAGAUGGGGUCUCUCUAUGUUGCCCAGGCUAGUCUCAAACUCCUGAACUCAAGAUAUCCUCCUGCCUUGGCCUCCCAAAGUAUUGGGAUUACAGGCAUUGCUCGACCUUCUGCCCAUUUUAAAUUGGGUUUUCUGUUGUUGACAGAGAGAUUUUAUUUGAUAAUAAUUUAAAUAAUAUUACUUUUAAUAUUGAUAAUUUAAAGAAAUAUUUUUGAAAUAUGUAUUUUAAAUGUUAUAUAAAAUGCAUUUCAAGUAUUCCAGUGUAAAAUAUACACUGUGCUCUCCCAAUCAGAAUGGAAUGGACUUUAUUUGAACCCCUACAGAUAACAAUAUUGUCAUUAAAAAUUAGGAAACUGAAAUUUAGAAAGGAUGAGCACCUUAUCCAACAGGACACUGAAUUUUUCAGUACUACCUUCAGAGAUCACUGAACUGUAGCCUGUUUUUGUCUAGGCUUAACUAGGGAAGAAGCCACUUUCGAUCUCACGCAAAUGGUUAACAGAAUCUAUUUCCUGUGGCUGGGGAGCUGAGGGCUCUGGCUUCUUGCUGACUAUUGGCUGCAGUCCUCCCUUAGCUCCUAGAGGCCUCCUGCAGUUCAUGUCCCCAUGUGCCUCCUCAACAUGUGCACUUCAUUAAGCCAAGGAGAGCCUAGAGCUAGUUUGCUAGCAAGAUGGAGUCUUAUACAGUGUAACAUAAUCGUGC
rnacentral:lncRNA from 1 species